rnacentral:rRNA from 1 species
UGGGGAAUUUUGGACAAUGGGGGAAACCCUGAUCCAGCCAUCCCGCGUGUGCGAUGAAGGCCUUCGGGUUGUAAAGCACUUUUGGCAGGAAAGAAACGUCGCGGGUUAAUACCCCGCGAAACUGACGGUACCUGCAGAAUAAGCACCGGCUAACUACGUGCCAGCAGCCGCGGUAAUACGUAGGGUGCAAGCGUUAAUCGGAAUUACUGGGCGUAAAGCGUGCGCAGGCGGUUCGGAAAGAAAGAUGUGAAGUCCCAGAGCUUAACUUUGGAACUGCAUUUUUAACUACCGGGCUAGAGUGUGUCAGAGGGAGGUGGAAUUCCGCGUGUAGCAGUGAAAUGCGUAGAUAUGCGGAGGAACACCGAUGGCGAAGGCAGCCUCCUGGGAUAACACUGACGCUCAUGCACGAAAGCGUGGGGAGCAAACAGGAUUAGAUACCCUGGUAGUCCACGCCCUAAACGAUGUCAACUAGCUGUUGGGGCCUUCGGGCCUUGGUAGCGCAGCUAACGCGUGAAGUUGACCGCCUGGGGAGUACGGUCGCAAGAUUAAAACUCAAAUGAAUUGGCGGGG